AGAGGCAAAUGUGGCUCUGUGCAGACCAUCCACAGCAGCCGAAACAGUGGAGAAGCCUCUGAAGUAGAGGUAUGAGGUUCUCCCUGUUUUUCUAGCUGCCAAGAGACACUGCUCGAUAGCUCUAGCCUUUGCCUCCAGUGCCCUUUGAGAAGACAGGAAUGUAAAGCAGAGGCUAGAUCUGAUGCUGUCUCCCCUCUGGACAAGCAGCAGCUUCUGCACUCCUUCCCUGGCAUAGCGCAAUGCCAGAUCUAUGCUGAGCCGAUGGCAGCUGGCAGGUGGGCAACCAGGUGCAGAGAUCCCUUUGCCUUACAGAAAAGUUAUAUGGAAUUCAUAAGGAUAAAAUCCUUGGGGGUUUUAGAGCAAUUUAAUGUGGUUCUACAGCAGUUACUCUAAACACCACUAAAACUGAAUAGAGUGAUGUUGGGGAUAUAGGUUUGUCAAAACAUCUUACAGAGUUCUAGAGAAGAGAUGUAGCUCUGCGUUCACUUCCACCAGAUGGUUCCAAAAGCCCACAGAAAGUUAUCAUUUUCUAUCAUAUCUGAUAGGACCUGGCUCCGUUUGACCAAAAUAAGAGCCUUGGUAAGUGGUCAUCUGAAGCAGUCAGUUAGCUCAGGUGCUCUUCCAUUUUCAGUGUUUUACCAGGGUUUCCUCAAGUUGCUAUGAUGGAUUUUCUUGGUAACAGGAAAACAGGCAGGCCUGAUGCUUCCCCACUCAGUUUUUCCAUCUGCUUCCUCUCAGCUUUGGCCUCCACCAAUAAUCAAGGUCUCUUUAGAAAAAAGACACUCAUGUUUAAGAAUUAAGCAGAGAAGCCAACAAAAUUGUCUCCCUCCAAGCAUUUACCCUGUUGCUCAUGUCAAGGGAAAUGAUAACAAACUGCACUAUCUCACCAGUGUUACUCUGGCUUACACAGGGUUUCCAGAGUUUCCUCCCUAACUUCCAAAAAUCUUGAAAAGCUAGCAGAUCUGAUUGCUCAGGCUUUAUUCAUAGUUUUAUGGAUUUUACAGCCAGAAGACAAUGUGAUUAUCUAGACUGACUUCCUGUUUAACAUAGGCUGUAGAACACCACCCAGUAAUUCCUGCAUCCAACCCCCAUAACUUGUGGUUCCAAAUCACAGAUUGAUUUGUGGACUCACUUGACACAAGACAAACUAGCUCACUGGAGUGAAAGCAGGCACCAAACAACCAAGGGCAUCCCAAAUGACACUACAAUAAACAUGCCAACUGUUAAGAUAAUGCCACUGGGAUCAGUGCUGGGUCCCAGGCUAUAUCUUUACAUUCCUUAUAUAAAAAAUUGGCUAGUGACACUGAAAGUUACACGUUCAUGCCUGCUGUUGGUACCAAAUUUAGAAAAACUGCAACCCGUGAUGAACACUACAGUCAUACAGAACUACUGUGAUUUAAUUGAAAGGGCUGCUAAAUGGCAAUUGUAGCGUGAACACAGAUACUGAACCCAGAGCAAUGAACUAGAAAGAAUAAAACUUUAAGAGAAUUUCCAGUCAGAGAAGUUAUUUUGGAUUUAUUACUUUGCUAAAGACUUUCACUGUUGCUUGGAAUAAAAGCAAAUGGGACUGUAGACUGGAUUGUAGUAAACGCCUAUGUAAACUAAACCCUUUGCACUAGAAGACAGCAUGCAUGGCAGCAAAGGAGUCAAGUGAUUAAAGCAGGGGCCCUAUCAAUCCUGAAAGAGGAUAAUAAAAAAGCAGAUGGAGGAGCAUCCCAUUGUUGUAUGAGGAAAUCCUACCCAGGAAAAUAGAAAGGGACGUACAGUCUCCACCUGGCGUGGCAUGGCCAACAUGGACAGGAAGGUUAUCAGUAGCCAAGUGCCUGGCCAACCUUCCAGAGGAGAGAGGGCAAGGGAGGAGAUGUUUGCUCACCUUAUGAAUGGGUCCCACCAGAAGGCAAAAAUCCCAAAGGAAUGGAGAGAAGCAUUCAUCCUGCAAGACAAGAAAGAGAGAGAGGAGGACAAAGAGCCUGCCAAGAAGCUGUUAAAGGAGCACAUGGAUCAACUGGCCACAGAAAGGGACUUGCAGGGAAGGAUGUUGGACAUGAUGCAAACACAGACAAGUUUCCUAGAGAACGUGGUUGCACUGUGCUCAUGUGUAACACUCCAACAUAGUACUCUCCUGCAGCCAGAUGAGAACACAGGGCAUUGAGAACCUCCUUUCAGUCACACAGCUGCAGGACACAGACCGUUCCCAAGCCAUCCCACCCCGCAAGACAAGGUGAACAGCUACCAUCCCACCUAUGGAUCUUUUGUGCACAAACACGUUAGCUCUGCACUUUGGCUAUUUCUGCACCAUUUUAGUCGGUUUUGAGUUUGCACUGUCUUGUUAGGUGUCACAGCCAUUUCUUUUUAUUAUUUACAAUUGCACUCUGUUGAAAACUGUCAUUAAGAUAAGAUUCAUCUCUCCCCAAUACCACCUGUUCUUAAUAAAAUCAAUUCAUUACAUUGUAA